UUGUGGAGUACGGCUNCCANGCUUCGACGGGUAGCCGGCCUGANAGGUGACCGGCCCACUGGGACUGAGACACGGCCCAGACUCCCACGGGAGGCAGCAGUGGGGAAUAUUGGACAAUGGGCGAAAGCCUGAUCCAGCAACGCCGCGUGAGGGAUGACGGCCUUCGGGUUGUAAACCUCUUUCAGUACCGACGAAGGGUGGUGACGGUAGGUACAGAAGAAGGACCGGCCAACUACGUGCCAGCAGCCGCGGUAAUACGUAGGGUCCGAGCGUUGUCCGGAAUUAUUGGGCGUAAAGGGCUCGUAGGCGGUUUGUUGCGUCGGGAGUGAAAACUUACAGCUUAACUGUGAGCGUGCUUCCGAUACGGGCAGACUUGAGGUAUUCAGGGGAGAACGGAAUUCCUGGUGUAGCGGUGAAAUGCGCAGAUAUCAGGAGGAACACCGGUGGCGAAGGCGGUUCUCUGGGAAUAUCCUGACGCUGAGGAGCGAAAGUGUGGGGAGCGAACAGGAUUAGAUACCCUGGUAGUCCACACCGUAAACGUUGGGCGCUAGGUGUGGGAUCCAUU
rnacentral:rRNA from 1 species